AGCUCCACACGUUCUUCGCAUCGUGCGUUGAUUAUAAGUGUUAGUGACCCAUCGGUGUGGCGCUUGGAACGAGUUAUUUUUUCAACUGAUCGAACAUAAAUUGGUGCUCUUCGCUUAGUCAUAGUUUUUCAACAUAUCGUGAGCUAGGCACCAGUCACAGUUUUCCUUGGCCGCCCCAGUCUCUUCGAGUAAGGUUAGCUUGUGUGAAAUCAGUGAGAUUAAUUGUUAACGUGAUUUUAAGUCAAAAGGAUGGAAUCCAGUGGUUUGUUUAACAGUACCAUGAGGGUGAAGGAGGAGUCUAACGAUGCGGGGCUUAUUGAAAAUUAUAGCGAAAUGAUCGACUAGAAACCCGAUCUUAAAAACAUCCAACUCUUACCAUUUCCGGGAGAAAAUUCAACCAGUACCCUGCAAAAAUUUGAAUUAAAUCAUACAAGUGAACUUACUGACGAAGUGGAAAUUGUCGUCGAAUGUGAGGACGUCAAGCCCUAUGUGAAUUUAUUAUCAGUGCAAAAAAUGGACGAUUAUUCUUCAAGUAGCUUAUGUAAUGUAACAGAUAGCGUUUAUUGUUACAAAACUAAAAACAUUAUUAAAAUGGAAACCACGGAAGAAGUGAAACAAGAAAUUAUUGGAGAUGUCGCAGAAGAAUUGAAUUCGAAUUUCGACGGUGAACUAGUCGAACGAAAUGAAAAAAUAAAAAAGCUCAACAACGACCAUAACCUUAAAAUGCACAUUGGUACAAGCCACGCGUGUCCAGUAUGCGGCAAGAUAUUAAAACGAAAAGAUAUUCUCAAAAAACACAUCGAUACGGUUCAUAAUAAAAUCGCACAUGAAUGCGAUAUAUGUCAAAAGACAUUUACACGAAAGGACAGUCUCCAAACCCACAUCGAUACAGUGCAUAACAAAAUCAGACAUGUUUGCGAUGUAUGCGAAAAGUCAUUUUCACAUAAAUCUUCUCUGAAACUCCACAUCGAAUCGAUUCAUAAUAAAAUCUCACAUGCAUGCGAUCUAUGCGAAAAGUCAUUUUCACAAAAGUCUUCUCUGAAAAUCCACAUCGAAUCGAUUCAUAAUAAAAUCACCUAUAAAUGUGAUAUGUGCGGGAAAAAAUUCAAAAGUAUGGUUUACCUUAAUUGUCACAUCGAUUCAAUGCAGCAUGGUAUCAAACAUCCAUGCGAUAUAUGCGAAAAGAAAUUCUCUACAAAGAAAUAUCUUAAAAGACACAUUAAUUCGGUCCAUCACUCAUGU